rnacentral:rRNA from 1 species
AAGUCGGCUUCCGCAAGGACAUCUGCAGAGGUGCUGCAUGGCUGUCGUCAGUUCUUUGUCGUGAGAUGUUGGGUUAAGUCCCGCAACGAGCGCAACCCUCGUCCUCUGUUGCCAUCAGGUUAUGCUGGGCACUCUGAGGAGACUGCCGGUGAUAAACCGGAGGAAGGUGGGGAUGACGUCGAGUCAGCAUGGCCUUUAUGUCCAGGGCUACACACGUGCUACAAUGGUCGGUACAAAGCGUCGCCAACCCGCAAGGGUGAGCUAAUCGCAUAAAGCCGGUCUCAGUUCGGAUUGUAGGCUGCAACUCGCCUGCAUGAAGUUGGAAUCGCUAGUAAUCGCGGAUCAGCAUGCCGCGGUGAAUACGUUCCCGGGCCUUGUACACACCGCCCGUCACAUCACGAAAGC